UACAUGCAAGUCGAGCGGAUCUUCAUUAGCUUGCUUUUGAAGAUCAGCGGCGGACGGGUGAGUAACACGUGGGCAACCUGCCUGUAAGACUGGGAUAACUUCGGGAAACCGGAGCUAAUACCGGAUAAUCCUUUCCCUCACAUGAGGGAAAGCUGAAAGACGGUUUCGGCUGUCACUUACAGAUGGGCCCGCGGCGCAUUAGCUAGUUGGUGAGGUAAUGGCUCACCAAGGCGACGAUGCGUAGCCGACCUGAGAGGGUGAUCGGCCACACUGGGACUGAGACACGGCCCAGACUCCUACGGGAGGCAGCAGUAGGGAAUCUUCCGCAAUGGACGAAAGUCUGACGGAGCAACGCCGCGUGAGCGAUGAAGGCCUUCGGGUCGUAAAGCUCUGUUGUCAGGGAAGAACAAGUACCGGAGUAACUGCCGGUACCUUGACGGUACCUGACCAGAAAGCCACGGCUAACUACGUGCCAGCAGCCGCGGUAAUACGUAGGUGGCAAGCGUUGUCCGGAAUUAUUGGGCGUAAAGCGCGCGCAGGCGGUUCCUUAAGUCUGAUGUGAAAGCCCCCGGCUCAACCGGGGAGGGUCAUUGGAAACUGGGGAACUUGAGUGCAGAAGAGGAGAGCGGAAUUCCACGUGUAGCGGUGAAAUGCGUAGAGAUGUGGAGGAACACCAGUGGCGAAAGCGGCUCUCUGGUCUGUAACUGACGCUGAGGCGCGAAAGCGUGGGGAGCGAACAGGAUUAGAUACCCUGGUAGUCCACGCCGUAACGAUGAGUGCUAAGUGUUAGAGGGUUUCCGCCCCUUUAGUGCUGCAGCAAACGCAUUAAGCCACUCCGCCUGGGGGAGUACGGCCGCAAGGCUGAAACUCAAAGGAAUUUGAACGGGGGCCCGCCAACAAGCGGUG
rnacentral:rRNA from 1 species